GAAAUGCGAUACGUAAUGUGAAUUGCUUUCCGUGAAUCAUCGAAUCUUUGAACGCACAUUGCACUCUUUUGGAGUAUGCCUGUUUGAGAAUCUAUAGUAUUACUUUUUGAGUAUCAUUUUAUUAUGGUACGCAAGAGAUAUGAAGUCUCCCUUUUUUGGGUACUUUAAAAUAGAUUGCCUAGCAAUAGUAGAUAAUGUCUGACAUUUCUCACACCUAUGCAGAAAAGUAUGUGAAUGGAACUUUUGUUUCUCAUAAUGCUGAAUAUGUGUAGAGAGGAAUUUAGUUGUCUAUCAGCGCGUAGGUCCAUAACCUAUAAGCGUAGCCUUUCGGGGUGAAACUUGAACCAUGGUCUCAAAUCAGGUAGGAAGACCCGCUGAACUUAA
rnacentral:misc_RNA from 1 species